rnacentral:tRNA from 1 species
GUCAAGAUAGCCGAGUUGUCUAAGGCACCAGUUUCAGGUACUGGUCCAAAAGGGCAUGGGCUCAAAUCCCAUUCUUGACA